rnacentral:rRNA from 1 species
AUUGAACGCUGGCGGCAGGCCUAACACAUGCAAGUCGAGCGGAUGAAGGGAGCUUGCUCCUGGAUUCAGCGGCGGACGGGUGAGUAAUGCCUAGGAAUCUGCCUGGUAGUGGGGGAUAACGUCCGGAAACGGGCGCUAAUACCGCAUACGUCCUGAGGGAGAAAGUGGGGGAUCUUCGGACCUCACGCUAUCAGAUGAGCCUAGGUCGGAUUAGCUAGUUGGUGGGGUAAAGGCCUACCAAGGCGACGAUCCGUAACUGGUCUGAGAGGAUGAUCAGUCACCCUGGAACUGAGACACGGUCCAGACGCCUGCGGGAGGCAGCAGUGUGGAACAUUGGACAAUGGGCGAAAGCCUGAUCCAGUCAUGCCGCGUGUGUGAAGAAGGUCUUCGGAUUGUAAAGAACUUUAAGUUGGGAGGAAGGGCAGUAAGUUAAUACCUUGCUGUUUUGACGUUACCAACAGAAUAAGCACCGGCUAACUUCGUG